rnacentral:misc_RNA from 1 species
UUGUGUAAUUACGGUUAUUCGUCAGUAUGUUGUAGAAUUUUUUUUUUCCCAUCCAUUUGAAACCUAGUUAACAAGGAAUUCAUUUCAUUUGUGAGUGAAUCCUAUAGUACAUUCAUUUGCAAUUGUUCUCAUAUUUGUUCUGCUCUAUAUUAAUACCUUGAAAAAUGAAUGUUAUGUUUGGAAAAGAAAUGAAUUGGAUCUAGUUUUAGAGAAUGCUCCUCAUGCUUUAAUAAAGAGAGGAGAAUUAUGCUUUAAUUAAAUAAUGGACAGUGUUUUUAAGUAGUAUGGAAUUCAAUCACAAAUUCCAUCAAUUUUAAUAGAAUUGGUUCCAAGUAUUUUAAAUUUUAUGGAAUUGACUUUGUGGAAUUCAAAUUGAGAAUUCUUGUGGUUCUGAACAUGAAAGUGUAUAAUUGAAAAUGUAUUCCCAUAAAAUUUAUGGAAUCUCUUUGUUUCAAAUACUAUGUUAGUUUUCUAAAUUCUUAUAUAAGCUUUAUGUGGGCAGUGGUGAUAGAACUCCCAAACAGAA